rnacentral:lncRNA from 1 species
CUGGCCUCCGCGGGGAGACCCCCGCCCGGGGCUCCGAGGCCGGGCGGCCACCCGCGGGGAAGCCCAGCCCUCCUCCAGACCCACUCGCUCCUCCGCCCUGCAGGGGGAGAGGGCUGAGGAGCGGGCGGCGGGAGGAGAGGGCAGCGCGACCCCCGGCCGCCGCCGCCGCCGCCGCCGCCGCCGCCGCCGCCUACCCCUACGCCACCUCGAGGGAGGGGGACACGGCUCUCCGCACUCGCGGCCGGACCAGCAGCCACCGGAGCGGGGCGCCGCCGCCGCUCUCCCCGCCCGCGCCCGCACCCCCAGCCCGGGCGCGCCCCCUCGCCUGGCGGGCGCCCACCGGCCCGGCAGCCCCCUGCCGUCAGUCCCUGCGCCCCGCGCGGGGGUGUCGGCCCGGGAGGCUGGAGCGGGAGAAGGUUGUAUGUACACACACACACACACACACACACACACACACACACACACACACCACACAAAGACGCGUCGAUUUCCUUCGCUCCUCUUCCAGCUGUUUUCGGUGCCGGCGACUGGGGUUUGGGGUUUGUUUGCUGGUUGUUGCUUUUGCCCCUCUGGAGAGCGGGGGUCUGGAAAUCUGCUUUGGGUACUGAAGUCCCCAGCCCCAGCCUUGGAAGAAGACCCGCGCACUCCUUUCGCAGCUGAUUCGGGAUCAUUAAUUUAAUCGGAAAUGAGGUAACCAGUGCAGGAGAUACAGAAAGCAAACCGAGCAUCAAAUGGCAGUUCUCAUGAAUCCACGCUGAGGAACUUCCUCUGCGCUCAAUGCUGAUGCGCGGUUCUCAGCUGCCCACCACCCCGCCCCCUCCGCGUGCACCACCGCCAGGUGUUAGUCGGUGGGAAGGAAUCCUCUGUGGACGGGUGCACCCUGCCAACAGGUGUGGCUCCUGGAGAAGAGGGAAGGCACCUCCGUGCUGAAGGGAGCUCAGUGCGGCGUUCUCCUUGCUGCAGAUAAUUCUGGAAGACCAGUAGGUGUCGGGGCAGCAUUUGACCUCUUUCAGGUGCUUAGAACCAAGUGUCUAGAAACAUGAUCUUUCCACAUAAGUUUCUCUCUGGAAGCCACCACUAUUGACUGUAAGCUGUAUUUGAGAAACCUUUGGCUGAGUUUACGUAUGACCUAACGGUUAGUCACCAACCGAAGCAGGAUACAGAAUCACCAAGAGAAAUGUGUCAGCUUUUAAACAACUGUAUUGUAGAGCCAACGUGCUACAGAAAUAAAAAUAAGCAUACUAACAACUAGGAAGGUGUAGAGCCCCGGAAAUAAUUUUUUUUCUCGCAUUUUGAAAUACCAUGCACAUAUACAUGGCUAUUUAAAUAAAACUACUACUGUUCACUCUGACUCGGUUCUAAAACUUUUUUUUUUCCUUUUUCAUUUAAAACGCAAUGAUUGCUACAGUUUAAACCCCAGGUCGGUUUAAAGUGACAUUGUUGGUCUCAUUACAGCCUCUAGUGGACAGUUGAAAUCAGUUUCCUGAAAAGGCUCUUCCUGGCGUUUUGUUGUUGACAAGCGUUAUCAAGGUGAAGGCUAAGAUCUCAGAACAGAACCGGAGACUGGCUCCUCCCCCUGCUUGGUGGAUUCCGCUCUCGAAAGGAUCAGAAGCAGUCGGUUCGGCACCGAAAAGACGAAUGCUUUGUGCUAUGGGCAUUAUUAUUACUGGCCUGUGAAUAAACAGAGCUUCUGCUAUUCAUUUCAGUUUCGGACAGCUUUCAUAUAAACUAACUUCAUCUAACGUAUUUUUGUAACAGAAAAUAUUGGUUGCCAUGUUUUUCUUCUGCGGACUGCCCAAUCCACCUCCACUCUAUUUUUAGACAUUUUUACUUUGAGAGAAUUUUCAGCCAAAAACAGCUAAUAUUUUAAUUAUUACACUGACACAGGCAGUUAAUUUAAGUUAUUUUAACAACCUUAAAUUAAAACACAUAAUUCAGAUUAGACUAAGUCAAUUAAUUUAAAUGUUCCCUUAAGGAAGCUGAAUAUGUAUAUUACCCAAACAGUAAAAACAAUAAGAAAUGUGUCAUUUACUUUCUUAGCUAUUAAGAUUAAAGCCAUAAAGUGUCAUUAAAGUCUGUAACUAUUCCUUCCUGCAAGGUGCCACGGAAACUAUUCUCCUGAUACAGUUUCGUUACCUUUAGUACUGCAUUAUUUUCAGAUGGCAAAAUAUUAAAUGUACAAAUAACUGACACUCAUUCUUUAAAAAUAAGGCUCUGUCAUGCAGAUAAAAACUCCAUGAAAGGGCUGGGCUUUCAAGAAGCCAGUAGGCAAAUAUGUAGUACUACGGUCCUAUUCAUAAAUCUGAUACUGUGUUCAUACAAACAUAAGUCAAACUUUAAAAUUAAAGGAAAUUGAGACGUAAGGCCUGCCUAGCCUUACUCCUAGUCUGUGUUCUGCAUUGCUCAAACACCAUGGAAAAUGAUUUUUUAUCCCUUAUAUCUACUUCAUUGUUUUGAUAGUAUCUACUUUUGAGGGCUUAAAGUAGGCUAUCAGUAUAUAUGAUAUCCUAUCGUUAUGUAUUACAUCUUGCUUCUUAAAAGCCUUAUCUUCAGAGUAGUGGUAGCAGCAGCUGGGAGCUUUUUAGAAAUUCAGAAUGAGAGUUCCACCCCAGACCUACUGAAUCACAAUCUGCCUUUUAGCCAGCACCCCUGGUGAUUUCCAAGCACGCUGUAGUAUGAAGAACACUGUCCAUACUACAGGGCUCUGUCUAGGUGCAUUUGCCCACGGAUGUAGAACUUAAUUCUUCUAUUUAUUCCUUUGGUAUUCCCUCCGCCUUUAACUAAUUUGCACUUUUUAAUGAAACACAAUUACACUGUAUGCUUUGGUCAGAUAGUACUGUAGUUCAGACAAGAGCCCUGAUUUCAUGCGCAAA